GCACGUUGGCACCAUCUUUGAUGUGGGUGGAAGUAAGUCUAUUAAAACUGGAACCGCAGCGGCCGGCGUCUCUAGAAACGCCAUACUCGUUGGGGACCGGGAUAGGAGGAGGUUCGGCAGUGGUUUGCCAUGAUCAAGGUAAGGAUUUGAUUUUUCUGUCGGCAUAGCCGCUAUGUUUCCGUACAGCCAGAAUCGCAGGGAGCCGUGACAGCUGGGUGCUCUGAUGGCUGUGUACCAGAAUUAACAAAGCAAGUGAUAAACAUGCAUGUAAAAGUUGGAAAGAGUAACCAGGGUUAAAAAAAUUGAUUACAGGGACCAUGUCAAACUCAAAGGCUAACACAGGCCAAGUAAACAAGGUUUAAUUUAUGUGGGCCGUGAAAAAACAAAACAAACCUUUAGUUUCCAUAGAAACGUAGGUUUAUUUUGAAAAGUACAGUAUAAAAAAAAGUUGCCUAACAUAUGUUUCAGUCCAACUAGCUUGACAUAUUAAGAAAAGUUUGGUAAUAGGACUGAAAUGGUGAAUGAAUGCU